rnacentral:lncRNA from 1 species
GCACACACACAAAAAAACCCUUCAGAAGAGGUGUGGAGUGGUUUCCUGCGGCUUCCUGUUGUGAGGAAGCCUUUUCAGUUUGCUUUGUUCUUCAAGUGUUUGGGAACCUGGCUGGUGGGAUCGCUGAGGAGGCCAAGUGGGCCUGGCUGCUGCUCACCUGGCCUCUCCAGCGCCCCAGCCCAGCAGCUUGCCCUCUCUCCCCCGUCUGAUUCGUUGGGCCAUUGUCUCCCCACGGACAUGGCCCUGGAUCUCAUCCCCAUAGGCCACCUGUGCUUCCCAAAAUAAACAGGGGACAAAUUCAACUGGAGUUGAGUGCCAGCUCCCAUGGAUGCCAGGCCCUACUCUAGGUGCUGGUGACACUCGGUCCUAGAGACCUAGAUGCUCGCAGCCUCCAGGGGACCAUACACAUGCAGAUUCAACAGCUGUGAUCCUGUCAUUGGUGAGGGUUAGGACAGCUGUAGGCGUGGCACUAGAGGAGCACCCAGGACCCCAGAGGACUCUCCAGCAAAAACAUGGGAAAGAAAAGUUGGAUUCUAGAAGCACUGCUGGUAAGGUCCGACCACACGGAAACUCGGAUGUGUGUGUGGGAAGGCAACUGGAGGGGCUGGGAGGACAGGGGCCUGGGGGACGUGCUAUUCGGACUGCCUUGAGGAUUGAACAAUAGAGGAUGAUCAUGCACCAGCCCUAGCAAGUAGGAAUUUUCCAGCCAAAUAAGGAAGGAAAGGCUGUCAUUGGUAGAGGACAAAUGGAAUUGCAAGAGCACAGAGGCAGGAGAGAGCGUGGUGCUCAGGAACCCGUCAGCGUGACAGGGUGAGGGGCCUGCUGGGGCAGAGGGUUCUGUGGGUGGAGAAGCUGGGGCAGGCAGGGGAGAAGGGGAGGGUCCAGGGGAGAGCUGCCCGGGAGCACCCAUGGAGGGUCGGUGUGAGGACCAGGAAGGUUUGGGGCUAUUCCCUCCAAGUAGCCAGAAGAUGUUCUAAAGCAAUGUGUUUUCAAACUCUUUGGCCACGCCCACAAUUUUUUUUCAGAGCAAAUCAAUAUACACACAUUGAAGAUUCACUCUCACUACAUGAUUCACCCUUAUGCUCUCUGUUUCACCCUGUCUUAUUUCUCCCCUUCCAGUUUCACCUUUUACAAAUUCUACUCAUGACUAUCUAAACUUAUCUCGUGACCCAAUGUGACAUAGCUCCACGUAUGAAACUGAUCUAAAGGGUGAGUGUAAGCGGAGGAGUGUAACCAGACAAACACCCGGGUUAAACAGAGAGCUGAUCAGAGAAUAUGGCAGAUUCUGUCCCUCAGGAGUCACAUUUUGAAUGGUAACCAGAGUGCAGGAGUCUAGGCCCUGGUCAGGGAAAAGAGAACAGGGCCCAAACUUCAGGAUCUAGUUGGUGUACCAGGCAAGGAUGUUUUUACAACAUGAAGAAAGGGAUCCUGUUUUUACAACACUGGCUGGAGUGAGCUGGUUCACCUGAGGAGCUUGGGAAGCUGGUGAAAGACUUUGCAUGUUAAAUUAGAGUUCUGCCUUUUUUGCAGAGGCAGUUAGAGGCAUUGAGCAUUUUUAAGUAGGUGUAUCAGUUAGCUAAUGCUGAAUAACAAAACAUCCCCGAACUUAGAGACUUAACAAACUUUGAUUGUUUUUCACUUCUAGUUGGCAAGGUAGUUCUGCUGCUCUGUGUUGGACUCACUAUGCAUUUACAGGCACCUGCAGCUCAGCUGGGACAUUGCUUUUCUAUAGUGGCCUUGCCUAGGACAAAUGGGCUCUCCUCCAAGGGCCUCCUUCACCCCUCCCACGCUAACGUGGGCCCACUCUUGUCGAACUUGCCUGGGGUCCAAGAGAGGAAAAAACAUGUAAGUGCCCUUUGAAGCCUCUGCUUGUGCCUGGUUUAUAAUUAUCACGUUGACCAAAGAAAGUCACAUGCCUGAGUCUAGAAGAAGCAUGAGAAGGCACUCUCUGGGGGCAGAGAUGGUGAGGGGUCAAACUAAGGGAGUGGGGCUGGGAAGAAAGGGAUUGCUGGAUUUCUAGGGAGUCGAUAAAUCAUCCCUCUACCCUCCUGAGGUCAGCACCAAUGGAGAGACAAACACCUGGGUUAAACAGAAGAGCUGAUCAUGAAUAUGGCAGAUUCUGUCCCUCAGGAUCACAGCUCCCCACCGGCUCAUGGCAGAAGGGACAGAAACCAGAGUGAUACCUUGAAGCCUGUUGUAGCUCCACCCAAACAAGAGAGUCUCCUGUCCAGUGGGAGUGAGUGAAGGGCAGGGAUGACGUGGGCAGGGGUCACGUGCUUUUCCAGGAGAGGCCCAGGGAGUGAGCAUUUCACAUUUUGGAGGCCACCGGGCCUCUGCUGCAACUACAGAGUUCUGCCCUCCCAGUACCUAGGCGGCCACAGGCGGUAGGGAUGUGACUGUGUCACAAGAGAAAUUUAGGUAUGGACACUGAAAUCUGAAUUUUUGUGUGCCAAAAAGUAUUUCUUUUUUUUAUUUAUUUUCAACCAUCUUAAAAAAAUGUUAAAAACCAUUUUCAGCUCAUGAGCUGGACAAAAGCAGUGUAGGUUGCAUUUCCUUUGCAGAUCGCUGCUAUAGUGCAGUCCCUCCACAGGAAAAGACCAAGUCGGGAGAACAGCAUUCCUCCAGGGCAAUUGUAACCCAAGGAGGGGAAUUUUUCAGGCCAGAGUUGUUCCUGCCUCACAGAAACCCAACCACCAAUACGGGGUUUGAACCUAGAGAUGCUCUACGACCAAGCUGCAUUGCUAAGCCCUUUUUAAAUUUUAUUUUGAGACAGGGUUUCCCUAAGUUACUGAGGCUGGCCUCAAAUUGUGAUCCUCCUGCCUCAGCCUCCCAAGUAGCCGUGAUUAUAGACAUGUGCCACCAUACCUGGCAAAGGAAAUGACUUUUAUGAUGAGAACUUCAACUGAGUCAGGGGGGCUGGGAGAUAGGAAAGGAAGGAUUGCUACUAAUACUUAUUGGUGUCUCUGUGCAAUAUAUCUUGUGUAUGAUAUUAACAUUUUUCCAAAUCAUCUUAGAUAGUUUUUAUGGCCCCCAAUUUGCUAGUGAGGAAACAGUAUUUCAGAGCGGUUAAUUAACUUGGCCAAGCCCACACAGCAAAUAAGAGCAGAGUUGUUUUUAAAUCUAAUGCCCUUUUCCCUCCAGGACUCUGGUAUUUUGGUCAGAUGAGACUUUUGUGGCCUCCAACUCUCUGUGGGCUCUUGGGAGCACUUGUGUCCUAACCCAGAAUGGCCAGACAAUGGCAAGGUUUUCAAAAGACCAGAUGUCCUCAAGUAAAACAAAAAGAGAACCAAGAUAUUCACUCAGAUGCACUCCCUGUCCAAGUGUUAGCCUUCUUUUCUUCAGAUGACGGGCAAAGACUCCCAAGUAGAUGAGGUUUCUUAUUUCUCCUUUUGUGCCCUAACACAGCACAGUUUUUAAAACAUUGAGGUACAAGUCACAUAACAUAAAAUUAACCCAUUUCAAAAUAUGCGAUUCAGUGGCAUUUAGUCUAUUCACCACAUUGCAGAACCAUUGUCUCUGCCGAGUGCCAAACUUCCUGCACAUUUUGCCCUGGGUUUGAUAGAUGUUCAUCAGCCGGACACUGGACAGUUCAUUUCCUGAGGCCAAUAUCUAUGUGCAUGUCAUCUACUUAGAGAUUCUCUUGUAAGCAUUCCUAAGAUGCUCUGCAAAUCCUACUUCAAUAGAAUUCCAUGCACUUUCUUCCCAAUUUCUUCUGAGCAGUACUUUUGAGGCUGGAUUGGGGAUCAGAAUCUAGGCUCCUUCCUACCAGGUACCUGGUUCUAUUACUGAGUCAAAACAACAAGCUUCGUGGUGAAGCAAAUUCUCUGUCCUAUCUUCUCUGAAGAUGUUCUUUUCAUCUGACUGCACAUUGCCCAUGUGGAUAUUAAUUUGCAUUGAGUUCUGGUUAAAUUUUAAAUGUGCCUCCAAAUUUAUAUUCUGUUUCUAAGCGAACAACCACAAAUAUGAAUAUUGAGACUCAUUAAAUAAUUAUUUUUUUCUAGGAUUUCUUCCACUUUGAGAACAGCAAAUUUCAUAAAUACAUAAAUAUGAAUUGAGAACUUGUACAUUGAGGCAAGAUGAUACAUGUUUGACAACUUUGGUGCAGAAUUAGAAAAAAAAUAGUGUGCUAUGUUUUUAAAAUUAUACUGUAUUAAUCAAGAGGUUUAAAAGAAGAAGAAGAAGAAGAGGAGGAGGAGGAGGAGGAGGAAGGAGGAGGAAGGAGGAGGAGGACUAGGAGGAGGAAGGAGGAUGAGGAGGAGGAAGGGGAGUGGGAGGGGGAGGGGGAGGGAGGAAGAAGAUCCUAACCUAUUUUGCAAGUUCUACAAAUUGUCAGAUGGAAAGUAAAUCUUCCAGUUAUUGUUUCAGAGUGUUUUGGUCCCUGGAAAUAGCUAUAAAUUAGACCCAUUCACCAUCAGAAAGCUCCGAGUUUUCUGCAUUACAAUUCUAUAUAAUUUACAUGCUAUGCAAAUCAUGUUCCACUGAAUACCAUCUAAUGCAUUUAUUCUUCUUCAAAAUUAACUAAACACUGCCUUCUCUUCUGCUAAAUCCAUCUCCCUGCAAAGCAGGUGUAAGGACAGUUUUCAGACAUGUACUGUUGCUUAUUAGCUCCUCUUUGCCAAAAAGUGUAUGACUGGACAAUGGUUAAAAAAAAAAUCUGUGGGGCCUCAUUUCACAAAAACCUAAUUUAAAAUCUGGAUGAUGCUCAUGGUGUGUGGAAGGGAAGGAAGAAUGGAGGCCAAGUUUCCUGGAGGGGGAGGUAGGGACUUGGGAACAGAACACAGAGGCACAGGGACUUGACUGACUUAUUUUGCUAUGACUUUUAUUUUUUUUUUAAUGGCUAUGAGAAAUUGACUUAAUUCCAGAAUAGCAUUUCUCAUCCUUCCUCACAUCUAAUCGUCCUCUGUACCUACUAGUAUCACUGGGCUGACUGCAUUAUUAAGAUGUGUCGGGAGGCAGUCAUUCUAAACCUCUGAUCUUCAGUUACACCGUUUGAUGGGAAGGUAGUGGCAUAAACAGAGGAUUAUUUAUGUCUUUUGACCCAGAGGGGCCAGGCUUAGCAGCAACUGCACCAAAAACCAUAAGGGACAUUGCCUCGCAGCUGAGUAAAGAGAGAAAGAGGUUUUGACUUCUCUCAUGCAAGAGCUUUGCGGGAGCGAUUUUACUGGGAAAGGGUCCCAGAGCUCAAUUAAGAAGUGAUCAACCUCAUCAUCCACAAUUCUUAUGCUGGAACCACUAUGAAAACCCUGUCCAUGGCUUGAAGUCCAGGAGUCUAACGGGAGGAAGCUGUUUCAAGAAGGAGCAACACACACAGGACUAUAUAUAUUUGACACGUUGGGCCAAGGACAGACACCAUUGCAGGACCCCACCCUUUUGUCCCAUGUGGUGGAAUGAGUAGCGUGACUUAGUAGAUACAACUGAGGCUCGACGGACAGAGUUCAGGACCCAGCCCUUCUGCUUUAGCCAUAUGAACUUGGGUAAGGUAAGCUUUCUAAACCUCAGUUUCCACAUUUGUCAAAUGAGGACAAAGAUUACUAUCCACCUCACAGAGUUGUUCAAGACUUAAACCACAUAAAGGGCCUGAGAAAAAUGCUCAGGAAAUGCUAGUAACUGUGAACUGUCAAUCACCUUCUUGUCUCCCUUCUUACCAGGACUGGGGUGACCCAACAGAAGUCUCACCUGUACUGGAAGUCCUUUGGAAGGACCCCAAGUGUUGCUGCAUAUUAAAUAUCUAGGCAGAGACUGUGUACAUGCCUAGACUCCCAUUUUAAAGUCUUAGAUACAAAUAUGAAAGUGGCCCAUAUUUAUGGAGUACCGUGUGAUGUUCUGAGACGUAUAAAUUUUCAUGAUUAAAU